rnacentral:rRNA from 3 species
AGCUUGCUGGGGGAUUAGUGGCGAAAGGGUGAGUAACACGUGAGUAACCUGCCCUUGACUCUGGGAUAAGCCUGGGAAACUGGGUCUAAUACCGGAUAUGACUCCUCAUCGCAUGGUGGGGGGUGGAAAGCUUUUGUGGUUUUGGAUGGACUCGCGGCCUAUCAGCUUGUUGGUGGGGUAAUGGCCUACCAAGGCGACGACGGGUAGCCGGCCUGAGAGGGUGACCGGCCACACUGGGACUGAGACACGGCCCAGACUCCUACGGGAGGCAGCAGUGGGGAAUAUUGCACAAUGGGCGCAAGCCUGAUGCAGCGACGCCGCGUGAGGGAUGACGGCCUUCGGGUUGUAAACCUCUUUCAGUAGGGAAGAAGCGUAAGUGACGGUACCUGCAGAAGAAGCGCCGGCUAACUACGUGCCAGCAGCCGCGGUAAUACGUAGGGCGCAAGCGUUAUCCGGAAUUAUUGGGCGUAAAGAGCUCGUAGGCGGUUUGUCGCGUCUGCUGUGAAAGACCGGGGCUCAAC